rnacentral:lncRNA from 1 species
CCGCCGUGACCGUCACCUCUCGCACGUCCCUUUUUCCCCCUUACCCUUCACUCCGGCGCCCGCAGGAGAAAACUGCGGGCCAAGGGACAUCCCGCCCUCACCGGAGGCUGUUGCCCCCAGGGCAAAGCUUCGGGAAGACUGGCCGAAAAUAAGACGAGAACAGCCCCCCUUUCCUGUAGAAAGGGCCCCAGACUCCGGCAAAAGGGCCCCCACUGCUGAGAAGCCCCUCCUGCCCUUGCCUCAUCUUUCCGACUUUCCUGCCUGCCACGUCUCCUUUCCUUUCAAGCAAGGUCCUGCUUUCUUUCCUGGGAGUGGACAGGUUGCCACCCCACACCACCCCCAUCAACUGAAUUCUAGAUCCCAGGAACUCUGCCCCACUGGACAAGGUAAAGGGCACGGUUCUCAGGGGAGGGACACCAAGGCAACAACUGAAUUCGAUGCAGCACUCGCCCCCUCCCCCAUCAUAGGAAGCCCCCGGGCAUGGGGGAAUAAAGAAAGCUGGACUUUUAUAGUCCUUUUGCUGUGACCCACUCUCUUAAAGGGAUUGGAACACCCCUCCUUAAAGGGAUCUCCAGAAAUUAUUUGCCCCCAGGCAAAACCAAGUACUGCUGGAGCACCCCCCUACACGAGGCAGAAGUGCUCCCCCUGUUUCUGAGCAGAGGAGCA